GAUGAAGAACUCAGCGAAAUGCGAUAAGUAAUGUGAAUUGCAGAAUUCAGUGAAUCAUCGAGUCUUUGAACGCACAUUGCGCCCCCUGGUAUUCCGGGGGGCAUGCCUGUCCGAGCGUCAUUGCUGCCCUCAAGCACGGCUUGUGUGUUGGGCCCCGCCCCCCGGCUCCCGGGGGGCGGGCCCGAAAGGCAGCGGCGGCACCGCGUCCGGUCCUCGAGCGUAUGGGGCUUCGUCACCCGCUCCGUAGGCCCGGCCGGCGCCCGCCGGCGACCCCCCUCAAUCUUUUCAGGUUGACCUCGGAUCAGGUAGGGAUACCCGCUGAACUUAAGCAUAUCAAUAAGCGGAGGA
rnacentral:misc_RNA from 1 species